AUGGCUUCUAGAGACAGUGUAGGUGUGGCUGCUGUGUCACAUGUGUAUGUCAGUAGGUAGGAGAGAGGAUGAAGGCCCUGUGUAAGCCUAGUGUUCUGAUCUGUGAGGAAUUGAUUAAUUAGUAACCUAACAUU